rnacentral:rRNA from 1 species
AGAGUUUGAUCAUGGCUCAGGACGAACGCUGGCGGUGAGCCUCAUACAUGCAAGUCGAACGAUAAGGCACCUUCGGGUGUACAUAAGUGGCGGACGGGUGAGUAACACGUAGGAAACCUACCUUAAGGAGGGGGACAACCACGGGAAACUGUGGCUAAUACCCCAUAUGUGACUAGUUGAAAUACCAGUCAUAAAAUGUUCCGGCGCCUUAAGAUGGGCCUGCGCCUGAUUAGCUAGUUGGUGGGGUAAAUGCCUACCAAGGCGACGAUCAGUAGCUGGUUUGAGAGGAUGAUCAGCCACAAUGGGACUGAGACACGGCCCAUACUCCUACGGGAGGCAGCAGUAGGGAAUUUUGCGCAAUGGACGAAAGUCUGACGCAGCUACACCGCGUGAGCGACGACGCCCCUUGGGGUGUAAAGCUCUGUCAGUAGGGACGAAUUUUGACGGUACCUACAGAGGAAGCAUCGGCUAACUACGUGCCAGCAGCCGCGGUAAGACGUAGGAUGCAAGCGUUGUCCGGAAUUAUUGGGCGUAAAGAGUUCGUAGGCGGCAUGUCAAGUCUGGUGUUAAAUCCUGGGGCUUAACCCCAGUCCGGCACUGGAUACUGGCAAGCUUGAGUACGGUAGAGGCAAGGGGAAUUCCCAGUGUAGCGGUGAAAUGCGUAGAUAUUGGGAGG